rnacentral:rRNA from 1 species
GCGCCGAUCGAGUGCUUCGCGGCCUAUCAGCUAGUUGGUGAGGUAAUGGCUCACCAAGGCGACGACGGGUAGCUGGUCUGAGAGGAUGGCCAGCCACAUUGGGACUGAGACACGGCCCAG